rnacentral:rRNA from 1 species
GACGAACGCUGGCGGCGUGCUUAACACAUGCGAGUCGAACGGAAAGGCCCUGCUUUUGUGGGGUGCUCGAGUGGCGAACGGGUGAGUAACACGUGAGUAACCUGCCCUUGACUUUGGGAUAACUUCAGGAAACUGGGGCUAAUACCGGAUAGGAGCUCCUGCUGCAUGGUGGGGGUUGGAAAGUUUCGGCGGUUGGGGAUGGACUCGCGGCUUAUCAGCUUGUUGGUGGGGGAGUGGCUUACCAAGGCUUUGACGGGUAGCCGGCCUGAGAGGGUGACCGGCCACAUUGGGACUGAGGUACGGCCCAGACUCCUACGGGAGGCAGCAGUGGGGAAUAUUGCACAAUGGGCGGAAGCCUGAUGCAGCAACGCCGCGUGCGGGAUGACGGCCUUCGGGUUGUAAACCGCUUUCGCCUGUGACGAAGCGUGAGUGACGGUAAUGGGUAAAGAAGCACCGGCUAACUACGUG